rnacentral:rRNA from 1 species
AUUUUUUGUAAUUAUGAUUUUAGGUUAUAAAUAAUUAAUGAAGUAUAAACUAUUAAUGUUAUAUUUUUUAGAUAAAUUAAUUUUUCUAGUAAUUUAUUUUUAGAUAAAUUAAUGUUCCAGAAAUAUCGGCUAGACAUUAUUAUUUUUAACUAAAAACUUUUUAAAUUUUAUUUUAAUUUAUAUAAAUUUAUAUUAAUAUAGGUGAAAUUUUAAUUAUAAUUAUGUUAAUAAUUUUAUAAAAUUUAAAAUUUUAAUUUUUAACUUAGGUUAGACACUAAUUAAUGAAAUUUAAUAAUUUUCUUUAGUAAAUUUUUGUAAAAAAAGAAAAAAUUAAGGCAGAAAUAUUAAGAAUUUUUGGAGUUUGAAGAUUAAUUAGAGAAACCUCUUUAUUAUCUUUAUUUAUUGUUUCUUGUAUGUUUAUCGUAAAAUUAAUUAUUUUAUUUUUUAUUAAUAUUUUUAUAUAAAAUUAGUAGAUAAAUAUCGGGAUUAUAAUGGAGUUUUUUUUAACUACAAUAUUAUAAAUUUUUAUUUGAAUAUUAUAGUAAUUAUAUAUUGAAAUAGGAAAAUAAAGUAAAUUAAAAUUUUAUAUUUAUUUGAAUUACUGCUUAUAUUUGGUACUUAUCGUCCAUCACCGACCUUUAACUUGGAAGGAAGUUGUAGCAUAGUAGAUUUAUGGGAAUUUAAAUCUAAUU